AGUUGAAGUGUGGAGGAAGCUGAUAAUGCUUUUUCAGUUCCUGAGGACUUCAAGCAGCUAUGAAAGUUAUAGGACAUCAGCAGACACCAACAAUCAGCUCACAAACAGCUGCUGAGAAGUUGAAGACAAACAUCUACAGAACUAUUGAAGCAUAAAAUAGUGCAGGAGCACCUGAAAAUGCAACUAUUGAGAAGGAGCACAGCACCAGAGAUCCCUUCCCCUGACACAAGAUUUGGUAACUGGAGCCAGUAGGCACCCAGCUGCAGGGAGAGGAUCAUCUUCAUCACCCUAAAGCACCAGGAAAGGAAUUGCCAGGUGGAAUUAGCAAAGCCUCCACCCCUACAGUCCGAGCAGUUGCUGAGUAUCAUUAAUCAUUCCAUCAAAUGGAGCAUUCACCACCCUCCUGGCUCCAAGAAGAUAUCCCACCCAGCAGGGAAUCAAACCUACUGUAAAGAAAAAUCCCAAACCCGAAUUCCUGCUGGCAGCAGAGACACCCGAGAGGAGAGGAGAGGCAUUAAGAGAGCAACUGGCACCCAGGGAGGCAGGUGGUGACAGAUGCUCCCUGCAACUUGGGAGGGCUGCAGAGAGGAAACCCAGCCCCAUUUCCAGCACAGCCCUGGGACACGACCUCAGCUAAGGAUGAACCCCACUGCCCCCUCAAAACCCCCCAGACACCCUCCCAUGCUUUUGCUCCACCAGCAAACCCCCCAGCUGAUCUCCCCGCGCCGGGCGCUGGGGCAGGCUCAGCCCGGGGCUGUGCGGGGAUUCCGGGGAUGCUGAGGAGCACCCAGCGAGCCGGGCUGGGCCGGGAAGGGCCAGCGGGAGCCGUGACAAACCCCGUUAUGUAACGGGUGACAAAUGCCUUUUGUUAUGCAAGACAAGUGGGAGAAAAAUCAGCAUUUUGCGACUCCCUGAGCACAAACAGGCUGCGGCUCCGGGGGGCACCGGCACGCUCCCAGCAGCACAAAUAGAUGCCUUGGAAACGCCUCCUGGUUUGGAUGAGUCAACAGAAAAAUGCAGAAUCGAUAUUUAAUUUUAAGGGAUUGAGGUUGUCAGCACGGUCAUUUGAUAAUUUGGGGGGUUUUGUUAAGGAGAGAGGCCGGUGGGCAGCCAUCCACCAGCCUUGCUCAUCAGUCAUCUAAAAUGAGGGAUCUACAUCCCCUUUGCUCAGCAGCUGGGGUGCUAGGCUUUUUUAAUUAAAAAUUUAAAUUGGUAUUAAUAGAAUUUCGUAA